UUAAAUCCCUUAUCGAGGAUCCAUUGGAGGGCAAGUCUGGUGCCAGCAGCCGCGGUAAUUCCAGCUCCAAUAGCGUAUAUUAAAGUUGUUGCAGUUAAAACGCUCGUAGUCGGACCUCGGAGCGCCCCCACGGGCCGGGCUUUUGCCUUGUUGCCAGUGGGAAUUUGUCUCCUCUUGUCGGGWCGCGGUGUGUGGGGACUUUACUGUCUCUGCGCGUUUACCUGCGGGCCGACCGUUUACUGUGAAGAAAGUAAAGUGUUCAAAGCAGGCCAUUGCCUUGAAUAUGUUGAGCAUGGAAUAAUAGAAUARGACUUGGGCUCUAUUUUGUUGGUUUCCAGUGACCAAGUAAUGAUUAAUAGGGACGGUUGGGGGCAUUCGUAUUUCAUUGUCAGAGGUGAAAUUCUUGGAUUGAUGGAAGACGUACAACUGCGAAAGCAUCUGCCAUGGAUGUUUUCAUUGAUCAAGAACGAAAGUUAGGGGAUCGAAGACGAUCAG
rnacentral:rRNA from 1 species